rnacentral:rRNA from 1 species
AGUGGCGCACGGGUGAGUAACACGUGGAUAACCUGCCUGGGAGUGGGGAAUAACCCUGGGAAACUGGGGCUAAUACCGCAUACGCUCCCCUGAACAUCAGUUCGGGGGAGGAAACGCGCAAGCGGCUCACAGAGGGGUCCGCGGCCGAUUAGUUAGUUGGCGGGGUAACGGCCCACCAAGACUUUGAUCGGUAGCCGGCCUGAGAGGGCACACGGCCACACUGGCACUGAAACACGGACCAGACUCCUACGGGAGGCAGCAGUGGGGAAUCUUGCACAAUGGGGGAAACCCUGAUGCAGCGACGCCGCGUGAGUGAUGAAGCCCCUCGGGGUGUAAAACUCUUUUGGCGGGGAAAAUCAUGAUGGUACCCGCUGAAUAAGCUGCGGCUAACUACGUGCCAGCCGCCGCGGUAA